GGCCGGAGCCUUUUGGAUUCAGUAGACCAAGCGUGUUUAUUUUGCUGCCGCGGCCGCAAGUUUCACUCCACAGCCAUAAAAAACACAUCAAAAUGGAGGUACACUCGUCCUGCUUCUCACAAAAUAGGUCUGAAGUCUUAUAUACAGUCUAUGGUUGAGAUGCAGACUGCACACGUCUUUUAAUUAUACUUCUGCUAAUAAUAAUGUGAGUAUGAGUGUGACUUUAUUACUACUUAUAUGAUAACUACUAUAUACAUCCCUUCUUUAUUUCCUGUACUUAAAGUUUAUUGUCAGCUUUAUACAAGUUUUGUACAAUUAAAGGUAAUUUUUCAGCUUCUUUCUACGUUUCCUACAAAUGUGUUUUAUUUGUAUAUGUGCAGGACAAAUAUACGACCCUAACGCUUAGCCAGCAGGUGACCAGUUUUUAAAGUUGUGCUGACAUUCGGCUUAUUGACACAGACACGCACGCAAGCGUGCACACGCAAGUAAAUAAACAUUCUUUGGCAGCAUAAUACCGUCAUGUGUUUUCAAGUGUCACAUUUCCGAGUGUUCCUGAAUGUCUCAAAGACGUCAACUGUGUGUCUGUGUGAAGCUACGGUAUUCUGUGUCAGACUCUGCUCAGGUAAGUCGAUGCACAGUCUCUGUUAAUGUCCAGACACUACAAAUGAGGAUUUAACGUUUCUACAUGACACUGGUUUGAGUUAUAUUCGAUUAAGAGGAUGUGAGUGGUCGAGAUAUUGACUUGAAAAUGCGUAAAGUACAUAUGAUACUGUUAAACUAUAUGACGCUAAAGCUAUUAGCGUCGAGCUAACGCUAAAGCUAACAACAUACUAUUAAUAAGGCUGAGUCAUGUGCUUGCUGAAAUACACAAUAUUGACUCAAUAUGUGAGCUGGCGUCAUGUUAUACACCGUGCCAGCUAAUAUUUACUUUAUAAAGUUCAUCAAUGUGACGGGGAUACUGCUAUUGAAGAGCAUUUGUUAAUGGGAGACGAUUGUGUCUGUAGCGCCGUUGCUAAAGGUAACACACUGUUGAUUACUGUUACUCUGUCAUAUUAACAGCUGGGUAAUUGACACGGGGAUGUUAGCUGUUAAGCUCCUGAUUACUUUCUAUCAAUUUUGUAGAUGUUUUUGCUAAUAUAGGUUAUCUUUACCAAGCACCUAGUUGUAACACAUUUGAAAUUAUAUUUUUUUAUGUGUUAAAAUUAUACAACAUGCUCUUCUAUUUAUUGAGGGGGUUAUUCAUGAUGGUAAUGAUACAGAUAUUUACAAUGUCAAACAUCACAUUAUCUACAUAUGUGUUCUACAACCACAAGUUCAAAUGAAUAUUGAUUUAAUGGAUGGGUUGUAAGCUGCCUUGAAACUUGUGAACCACCUUCUCCUCUGUUUUUGCUUCAGUAGCUGAUGCUGAAAUUUAUCUACUACUGUACCAUACGUUUACUUUAUAUGAGUUUGAAAUACUUCAUAAAAGGUGUUCUGUGCCAUUUUAAGCUGCAGCUAACAGUGAGGUGAUGUUUUAGAGCUGUUUCAUUUUCUAUUACUAUUAUGACUGUAAUAAUGUUGCUUUUGUCAUAGUCCUGCUGUUUUAAUGAACUAUGUAUCUGACAGAUAGCACUAAUGUAUUGUUUUUUGUCUCAAACAAACAGAACAUUAUACCACUCCCGUGCGUUUAUUGGUAAGUACAAGUGUUAUUACCAAAAGUCACAUAAUACUCUAAAAAUUAGCUGGAUAAAUGUUUUGCUUUAUCCUGGUAAACAAGAACUCAUGAAACAUAUAUUUCAACUGAUGAUGCAUCUAAUAAAGACUGACUUUAAUUAGAUAUUAAAUGUUGAUCUUUCUGUAUCACUACUGCAUAUCUCCUAUUAUACAUAUAUAUAUAUAUAUAUAUAUAUAUAUAUAUAUAUAUAUAUGGGAUACAUUUUUUCCUGGUGGACAACUGUGUUAACAAUAUUACCACACAACUACAUUUGUUUAUUCAAAACAUUUGAACUUGCUGGGAAAGUGUGACUUGAUUUUCAUAAUAAUGAUGAGGGAAAAUCUUUUGGGAAAAUGAGUGAAUGAAGUGAGCUGUGAGGUUGUUUGUUGUAAAGAGUAUUAAAUAUCUGUUUUUCUCCCUCAUUCCCUCCUCCUGCAUUGUGUUUUCCUCUGACCUUUGCCAAACCCCCUUUGAACUCUAAAGCGUAAUUUCACACUUAUAUCCACUUAAGUUAUCACUGUAAUGUCAUAUUAUUUAUCUGCAGUCUGUAAUGACAAUUUACUGUUUGGAUUUCAUCUUAAUUAUAGACAUAAGAGAGUAAAUAGUGAAAAGGCUUUUUCAUUGUGUAUGACAUGUUUUCUACAUUUUAAGCUUCAUGUUUUUCAGGCCAAGGUUGCUUCACUAUAAUCUUUCCAAUAAUUAUGUGGUAUAAUACAUGAACUUGGAUAAGAAAUGACAAAACUAAUGAUUGUCAAUGAAAAAUGGUUGUGCCUCCAAUUAAGUAUGACAUAAUGAUUGUUUGGCAACUACAUUUACAUUUACAUUUUCUUUCUCAAUAAUUUCACUGCUUCUGAAAUUGGCUAUUCUAUCUCUUUAAUGCAGACCAUUGCGGCCAACUCAGCUGAAAGUUCACUAACACAAAUACAUGUUAAUGUGUGAAUACUGUUACUGUUUACAACACAUUAUGUAAAACCCUACAUCAUGUCAUAAUUUCACGAACUGCUGCAUCUUUUUACUGAAUUGUAACGUUAACCAUUUAAAACUUUGCUUUAUCUUAAGUUAAGCUGAAACAAAUGUUAAUACUUUUGCUGCUUGUUAACAAUUGAACGUAUAUUAUAGUGUAAUGUUUCCUUUUUUGACAAUUAAACUCUAAAUGUUUCAUCUCUAUUUUUCCAUUUCCCCCCUUAGUGACUCCACCUUGUGUUUAACUGCAGACCGCUUGCCAGUCAGUGUAAGUUUAUACAUGAAUGACAUUUUUAUGAAUAUGACUGUGUGCCUUUAUUGUACACAUUUUACACACACCUCUCUUUCUGUACUUUCUACACAAUUGAGGUUACUUUCAUACACAUAAUAUUUGAUCACAUGCUUAUGAACAUUAUUAUUAAGGCAAUUAACAUUGAAUUAUAUCAGCAUUCAAGAUAAGUGGGUGAUGCAUCUUUUCGUAAAAUACACUGAGGUCAUACAUACAUUUCUUCAUCUAUUUAGUAACAUUUUAGAUGUUCAGUCCUAAUACAUUUUUGAAAAGAUGAUCAAAUAACAUAAUGCUCAGUUUCAGCAUUUGACUCAACUACACUUUGAAUAGAUGUGUAGUCAAAAUUGCCAUAUGUUACUUUGAACGAAAGCACAUUAUAAUGACAUUAGUUUUGGGUGAAUGUCGGUUGAUUUAAAUGUAUUUAUUAUAUUUCAUACAAAUAAUUAAUAUUUAUUUCCAUUUUUCUUACAGAUAUCCUGUACUGUCCCUCCACUCUCUCCUAUCAUUUUGGACAUUCUGCCUUUCUAUCUCUCCUCUAUCCAACUCUGACUAUUUGAACAGCUAUUGCCAGCCUUUACAACCUAUUUUGAAAGCCUUUACCACAGCCUUUGACAGCCUUUAAAAACCGUUGUGAAAGCCUUUAAGAAAGGCUUUAACUGCCUUUGACAGCCUUUCUACCACUUUUAGAGCCUUAAAAAGGGGCAUUCAGACACUUUGAGAACACUUUUUGGAAACAAGCUUAUUUUUUUCAACUGAUCGCGUGUAAAAGCAAUACUUUUGAAACAGCAAAAUCUUUGAAACAGCUUACUUUUAAAACAACUACUGUUCUGAAAAAGCACUAAUUUUGCACAAGUGUUAUUGUUCUUGUACUUCUUCCUUUCCUGUCUGUUGCUCUACAGUUUCACCUGAAGAAGUUUCAUCACCAUCACCGCUCCUGCCUCAUUCAUUUUGAGUUCGAAAAAUACACCUUUAUUAUUUUUGACUUCAAUUUUAUUUUAACAAAAAAGUCCUGACAUCUAAACAUUUGUUAUUGAUUUGUGUUUCUGUUAAAUAAAGUAGUUUCUGAAAACAAUAAAGCAUUUCUGUCCA